rnacentral:rRNA from 1 species
UACGUAGGGUCCGAGCGUUGUCCGGAAUUACUGGGCGUAAAGAGCUCGUAGGUGGUUUGUCGCGUUGUUCGUGAAAACUCACAGCUCAACUGUGGGCGUGCGGGCGAUACGGGCAGACUGGAGUACUGCAGGGGAGACUGGAAUUCCUGGUGUAGCGGUGGAAUGCGCAGAUAGUCAGGAGGAACACCGGUGGCGAAGGCGGGUCUCUGGGCGAGUAACUGACGCUGGAGGAGCGGAAAGCGUGGGGAGCGAACAGG